AUUGAACGCUGGCGGCAGGCCUAACACAUGCAAGUCGAGCGGAUGAAGGGAGCUUGCUCCUGGAUUCAGCGGCGGACGGGUGAGUAAUGCCUAGGAAUCUGCCUGGUAGUGGGGGAUAACGUCCGGAAACGGGCGCUAAUACCGCAUACGUCCUGAGGGAGAAAGUGGGGGAUCUUCGGACCUCACGCUAUCAGAUGAGCCUAGGUCGGAUUAGCUAGUUGGUGGGGUAAAGGCCUACCAAGGCGACGAUCCGUAACUGGUCUGGGAGGAUGAUCAGUCACACUGGAACUGAGACACGGUCCAGACUCCUACGGGAGGCAGCAGUGGGGAAUAUUGGACAAUGGGCGAAAGCCUGAUCCAGCCAUGCCGCGUGUGUGAAGAAGGUCUUCGGAUUGUAAAGCACUUUAAGUUGGGAGGAAGGGCAGUAAGUUAAUACCUUGCUGUUUUGACGUUACCAACAGAAUAAGCUCCGGCUAACUUCGUG
rnacentral:rRNA from 1 species